AUUGAACGCUGGCGGCAUGCUUUACACAUGCAAGUCGAACGGUAACAGGGAGCUUGCUCCGUUGACGAGUGGCGAACGGGUGAGUAAUGCAUCGGAACGUACCCAGUCGUGGGGGAUAACGUAGCGAAAGUUACGCUAAUACCGCAUACGUCCUGAGGGAGAAAGCGGGGGACCGUAAGGCCUCGCGCGAUUGGAGCGGCCGAUGUCGGAUUAGCUAGUUGGUGGGGUAAAGGCCUACCAAGGCGACGAUCCGUAGCGGGUCUGAGAGGAUGAUCCGCCACACUGGGACUGAGACACGGCCCAGACUCCUACGGGAGGCAGCAGUGGGGAAUUUUGGACAAUGGGGGCAGCCCUGAUCCAGCAAUGCCGCGUGAGUGAAGAAGGCCUUCGGGUUGUAAAGCUCUUUUACCCGGGAAGAUAAUGACUGUACCGGGAGAAUAAGCCCCGGCUAACUCCGUG
rnacentral:rRNA from 1 species